UCCAACAGGAAGAAGGUGAGAUCAGCACCACCCCUAAAGUGUCUGCCUGUAGCACGCCAGACAUGCCAAGGAAGCCAUGGGACAGAACUAACACCAUGAACGGUAGCAAAUCUCCAGCAAUUGGAAGACUAGAGUCUUCGUGGAGAAAUCCCACUGGAUCAGAGUCCUGCAGCAGGUAGAGAGUGUGAUAUCCCUCCUCUCUGAAACAAUGAUGGGGGUGUAAUGGAGAGGGUGUUUUUAUGAAACCUUUGGACAUGCUCCUGUGUGUCUUGUCUUCUGUUCUUACUGAUGUCUAUCUUUCUAAAC